ensembl:lncRNA
GUUAAAAUGUUACCAAACAUUGAGUCGUUUGAUAACCAUUAUUGUUUUGUGUGUGUGUGUGUGUGUGUGUGUUUUUCAGUGUAUCAGUGCUAUAGCCCAGGCUUUUAUGAUUCAAAUAUUCCAUAUUCCCAACAGCCAGCUGCCUCCUACGCUCACUGUGGCUAUUACCCUGACUUCUCAGUCAGCUACUUCCAAUGCACUGGUCAGAAUCCAAACUUUCAAGCAGGUGACGCUCCAGAUCUCAGGAAGAGUUACGUGAACCUGGACACUGUAUUCAAUGUGGCAGAUGAAAUGCAGGCUUCUGCUGCUUCCUCCAAUCUGCCCACCAAUGAAAAGUCACCUGUGAAGACAGUUUGAGUAGCCACCUCAUUUUUAUUUGAUGUGUAAUGAUUGAAAAUGUAUGGUUGAGUGAAUGCCUUUAUUCCAUUUCCUGACAACAAGUCACUCUUGAGUAGAUGAUUAUGAGUUUCUAUAUAAAAAAAAAAACCGGUUCGAUUCCUUUCGUAAUUAUUCUAGAUUAUUACACAGGGUUUGAAAUGCAGCUAUAGCUAGCACAGCUUUUAAUGAUCAAAAUGAACUUUAGUAUUUCCUUUAGAUGCCUGUGCAUAUUGAAGACAUGAAUGAUAACUUAUCAAACAGCUCUUUUAUUUUAUUGCAUCGGGGGGUUUUUUCCCCUCAAGGAUAAUCUUUUAUUUUAAAUAACAUGCCAAAUUUGUAUAAAUUUACCAUUUGUACAUAAAUCUUUUAUUUAAGAUAACUUGCAAAAAAAUCUUUUUAUGUAUUUAUAAUACUGUUUAGAUUUAAAUAUAAUUUUAGUGGUAGUUUGAUUCAGUGAAUUGAACAAGUGAUAUUUUAAUGCCAACUUGUCUUAGUAACAAAUUCUAACUGUAUUUUAAAGCAUGCACUGCUGAGGCACUUCAUGCAUGAAAUGUAUUAAAGUGAUUUUAUCUUAGAUCUUGUCAUUUCUAUCCACUCACUUGGUGAGAUAUUGUAAAUAAG